UACGUAGGGGGCGAGCGUUGUCCGAAGUUACUGGGCGUAAAGCGCGCGUAGGCGGGGGGUUAAGUGAGAGGUGAAAGGCCGGGGCUCAACCUCAUGCAGUGCCUCUCAUACUGGCCUUCUUGAGGGCGGUAGGGAGAAGUGGAAUGGCUGGUGUAGCGGUGAAAUGCGUAGAUAUCAGUCGGAACACCGGUGGCGAAGGCGGCUUCUUGGGCCGUUCCUGACGCUGAUGCGCGAAAGCUGGGGGAGCGAACGGG
rnacentral:rRNA from 1 species